GGGUUUUUUAACGCAGUAACAGUGACACAAAUCAGGCACAGGUUCAGCACUCACAAUGUUCUACAGAUCGUCACAAUAUCAAACCGACACCAGCGUUUCAAAGCUACAGAGAUGCACUGGGCUUUUUAGGAACUUUAUUUUAGUCUCAAAAGUUGCACCCGUAAAAACCACAAAAUACAAACGCAUAGAACAGAAUCUGCCAG